UUUGAGGCAUAUCAGGGUAUCCAAGGC
rnacentral:misc_RNA from 1 species